UGAAAUACUGCUAUAAUAUGUUAACUGACUGUAUAAUUUUACAUUAUAUUGAUUGCUAGAGCAUUCUACUAUCAUAUCAUUUAAAAUUAUUGAAGAGUUGUAUUAUUGCUUUCAUGAAAUUUGAAAAUGAAAUUUCAUGUUUGUAAUCUAAGAAUGUUCGUAUCUCGAGGAACGUGUGUACAUACUUAUGAUGACAUAGCAUCAAACAGAUGUGAACACAACAAAUGAUGUAUCCAGCAAUACUGAGAGAUCAUCAUGCUGUAUUCUGGUUUUGAAGAAAUGAAAAUUAUAGUAAAAAAAGAGCCUGAUUGGGAUAACACUGUUGAGAUUACUCCUGAUAUUAAUUUAGAAUUUGAUUUUGAGAAUAUAAAAAUAAAAACAGAUCCAGAUAUUAAAUUGGAAAAUACCGAAGAAAUUAUUUUUACAAAUGAAAAAGAUGGCUUCUUUGAUAAUUCUACUUUUGAUAUAAAAAAUAUUCCUGAAG
rnacentral:lncRNA from 1 species